UUUAUGGAGAGUUUGAUCCUGGCUCAGGACGAACGCUGGCGGCGUGCCUAAUACAUGCAAGUCGAGCGGACGUUUUGUUGGUGCUUGCACCGACUUAACGUUAGCGGCGGACGGGUGAGUAACACGUGGGCAACCUGCCCUGUAGUCUGGGAUAACUCCGGGAAACCGGGGCUAAUACCGGAUGAUACUUUUUGAUUCAUGUCAGAAAGUUGAAAGAUGGUUUACGCUAUCGCUACAGGAUGGGCCCGCGGCGCAUUAGCUAGUUGGUGAGGUAACGGCUCACCAAGGCAACGAUGCGUAGCCGACCUGAGAGGGUGAUCGGCCACACUGGGACUGAGACACGGCCCAGACUCCUACGGGAGGCAGCAGGAGGGAAUCUUCCACAAUGGACGAAAGUCUGAUGGAGCAACGCCGCGUGAG
rnacentral:ncRNA from 1 species